AAAUAAGGAUGGAGAUUAGGGUGAGUGAUGCGAAACUCGCUAAAACAGAAACAAAUCCAAUUACGAAGAAGAAGAAGAAGAAGGGGUUUGAGCCUGAAAGAACAUAACAGUGGGACUGUGGGAGUUGGGGACUCGUUUGCCAAGUUGCUUCUCUUCUAUCUCCGUGCUUCUGGAUGAUCAAAAUUACAGCAUUAUUAUUAUUAUUGAAGUGAUUUUUGCAGGUUUGCCCAAAAAUGGAAUCGGUGCCAAACCCAAACAACGGGGAGGAACCCACUUCGUGGGAUGAGCUAUACAACAUCAAUUUGAUGCCUUCAGAGUUAUUUCUCAAGUUCCGAAAAGAACUUCAGGGCAUUCGAGUUGGUCUCAAUAUGGAGUUCUAUAAUGCCCCAGUCAAUGAAUAUCAAGCAAAGCUUGUAUUGAAGCCUUUAACACCUGAAUGGAAGUGGAAGAUAAUCUAUGAGCCCCUUCAUCAAGAUGUUCGUGUUCUUUCAAAAAAGAUCCCCAUCACUAAAUUUCUUAAUCUUCAGUGCAGGUUGGUGUGGGACACAAUUUUCAAAUGCAUGCUACUGGUUGGAAAUGGAAGCUCACCACAUGUUUGGGUGGAGAUGGUAUAUCCCGGAUCCGAAAUAAGACAUCAAUUGGCUUGUUUCCCGGUUUUGAUUUACGGUUUGGAUGGAGAGCAGACUAUGUUCUUCCUGAAAUUACUGGGGCACUGGGUACUGAUGAGCCAAUGUUCAACAUGCACUCAGGACGGCUACAAGCAUCACUAGAUAGAGUUGAGGCCAUCUUAACCCACACCGAUGCUCCUUGAUUUGGGUAAAGAAGAUAAUGUUCAUGAGGUGUGACCCCAUUCCCUUUUGAAAGAAGUUCCAAGUAGUGGUUGCGGACAGUAACAUCAGCAAACAGAAUACUGGAAUAAAUUUUCCGCAGGGAGUAAGUCAAAUUUUGAAGUAUGUCCUACCUGCCUGAAAUGCAUUGCCUCAGAAGUGGAGUCAAGAUGAUACCGCGAAAGUUAUUCGAAAAUUGUGGCAUGACCCGCCAGUUAAAAUUAUGGAGCGCCUGAUGUAUUCAAAGGGCUAUUUGUCUUGUGCAUACAUUAUUUCAAUAGUGUCGAGUUAUUAACUUGUUUUGCCAGUGCAAUAAUUUAUUAAUUUGUACAUGUGGCUGUAAUUAGUUUUUUCAAAUCCCGAAUUGAGAUGUUGCAAAUUAUUACCCAGAUAUCCCUGCUUUGCCGGGGGGUGGGGAAUUUGAGAGCAUAAAUAUAAUACUCUAUCGUGGUUUGCUUUUCCAACCUAAACCUGGUCAAACUAGGGACACAAGGAUUAAUCUCUUUUCUUUGUCAAUGCUAUAGGAUGUUUGGUUUCACAGAUGUGAUUAUCACAUUUCGGAUGUAAAUUUUAGAAGCUAACAAUUGUAACCUUUACAUCCAAAACGUGACUUCUUCCUUGCUAA